CUUAAUGGCGGCUGUGUUCGGGACGCCUUCGGGCGUGCCGGUUGUGAAUGCCUCAUCGGUUGACCAACCCGAACGCAGUCCGCCACCUAU
rnacentral:antisense_RNA from 1 species